GAUGAAGAACGCAGCGAAAUGCGAUAAGUAAUGUGAAUUGCAGAAUUCAGUGAAUCAUCGAAUCUUUGAACGCACAUUGCGCCCGCCAGUAUUCUGGCGGGCAUGCCUGUUCGAGCGUCAUUUCAACCAUCAAGCCCCAGGCUUGUGUUGGGGACCUGCGGCUGCCGCAGGCCCUGAAAACCAGUGGCAGGCUCGCUGUCACACCGGGCGUAGUAGAUUUUAUCUCGCUCAGGGCGUGCUGCGGGUUCCGGCCGUUAAAAAGCCUUUUUUACCCAAGGUUGACCUCGGAUCAGGUAGGAAGACCCGCUGAACUUAAGCAUAUCAAUAGCGGAGGA
rnacentral:misc_RNA from 1 species